UAUAUUUCAUUAAAAUUCAUCAUGAAUCAUUCUAAUUUUUAUGAUGCUUUUGAUUUUGAUGAUGACACUCCCAUGUUCGCCUUUCAAGUUGCUACCGUAGUGGUUGCUGAAGAGAAAUCGAAUAAUCAAGGGCGGAGAACAAAGUAUCUUGGCUCUAUUCUUGGUCACAAUAUUGUCAAUCGUAACAGAAAGGAAGAUCGUAAAUGCAAUGGAAGCUCACAAUCCACAUUUCAAACAAAGGACGGAUGCUUUUGAUGUUCUUGGUUUACUUGCCUUCAAAAGGUAACUGCAGCUUACAGGAUACUUGCAUAUGUUAUUCCUGCAGAUCUUACUGAUGAAUAUCUUCAAAUUGGGGAAACCACUGUAAUAGAAAGUCUUAGAGCUUUUGUCAAAGCAAUCGUAAAAGUUUUUGGUGAUUGGUAUCUAAGGGCACCAAACGAGGCUGAUAUUUGUCGAUUGUUAUCAAUUGGAGAGCAACGUGAAUUUCCAAGGAUGUUAGGGAGCAUUGACUGUAUGCAUUGGAAAUUGGAGAAAUGCCCAAUUGCAUGGCAUGGGAUGCAUAUCGGUCAUUGUCAUGAACCAACUAUAAUUCUAGAGGCAGUGACUUCACAAGAUCUUUGGAUAUGACAUGCUUUUUUUGGAAUGCAUGGAUCAUUAAAUGAUAUUAAUGUUCUUGAUCGGUCACCUAUCUUCGUUGCACUUGCUGAAGGUCGUACUGCUCCUGUCAAUUAUACAAUUAAUGGGCAUGAAUAUACAAUGGGAUAUUAUUUAGCAUAUGGGAUUUAUCCUAAUUGGUCAACCUUUAUUAAGACAAUCCCAAGACCAUUAGGAGCAAAGAGAAAAUAUUUUGCAAGUAAGUAAGAGUUUGCAAGAAAGGAUGUGGAGCAGACAUUUGGGGUGCUCCAAUCUCAUUUUGCAAUUGUACGUGGAUCUAUUCGAUACUGGGAUAAAGAAACGCUUGCAAAUAUUAUGAAAGCUUGCAUAAUAAUGCAUAAUAUGAUUAUUGAGGA